rnacentral:tRNA from 1 species
GAGGGUGUAGCUCAGUGGUAGAGUGCGUGCUUAGCGUGCACGAGGUCCUGGGUUCAAUCCCCAGCACCUACA